rnacentral:rRNA from 1 species
GAUGAACGCUGGCGGCGUGCCUAAUACAUGCAAGUCGAGCGAAGCGGGGACGGGUGAGUAACACGUGGAUAACCUCAUAUCCGACUGGGAUAACUUCGGGAAACCGGAGCUAAACCGGAUCCUUAUAGAUGGAUCCGAGCUGCAUUAGCUAGUUGGUAAGGUAACGGCAUACCAAGGAAACGAUGCAUAGCAGACCUGAGAGGGUGAUCGGCCAAACGGGAACUGUGACACGUUCCAGACGCCUACGGGAGGCAGCAGUAGGGAAUCUUCCGCAAUGGGCGAAAGCCUGACGGAGCAACGCCGCGUGAGUGAUGAAGGUCUUCGGAUCGUAAAACUCUGUUAUUAGGGAAGCGGUACCUAAUCAGAAAGCCACGGCUAACUACGUGCCAGCAGCCGCGGUAAUAC